GGAGCCGGGUGAUGGCAGACGGGCGCGGGAGACGGAAGGAUCUGGCGUGGCAGCGCGUAGUCCUUGUAGUUGGAGGAGGGCCUCCAUGGCCGCGGCGACCCCUCCCCUUCUCUCUGUGGCCACGACAGCUCAGGCGCGGUCAGAUCCGCCCUCCCUCCCUCAUUCCUCGCGCCGGAUAACCUAGCCGCCGGGCCAUGGUGACCGACGGCGAUGAUGACGAUGGUGGCUACCUCGACGACGGCGGCACACACCCAACAUCGCCAUGGACCAGUAGCUCAAGCAUUCUUCUUCCUGAUGGUGAUGGGGUUCCCUCACCAUCUUCAGGUCAUCGUCCUUGAGGCCUCCACCAUCUGCAGGCGCAAGCCAUCAGGCUCUUCCAGUCCAGGGGGAACCAGGCCCGAGUCACCACCAUCCUGAUGUUGCCACGACGGGCGCGGCAGCGGACAGGCCAAUGCACCUUGCAGCGAUAUCUACGUUAGAGAGGGUGUUGUUGCCGUCCACCAUGAUAACAACCUGUGUUGUGUAGAUUUUAGAUUCUUUGGUGACGAAUUGGACUACAUCCCACUGAAGGCCACUUAUCCUGCUCAUGAGUGAUGCUACUUAAAAACAAUCCUAGGUGAGUGAUAUGUUCUUUGUCAUGUCAGGUAUGUAGUUCCACCGACCUCAUAUUGGA